GAACGCUGCACCAGAGUUGUGUGGUGACGUGUCUCAGGGUUUUAGCGAGGCUGUUAGCCGGCUAGCUGGUCCUAGCAACACAGAGCAGUGUUUCUGUUAGCGCUGUUUGCAGCCCGCUCUAAACACCAAACACCAAAACCAACGCCUUCAUCCAGCCAUGGUGACAGACGUGCAGCUGGCUAUUUUCGCCAACAUGCUUGGAGUCUCCCUCUUCCUGUUGGUGGUGCUGUACCACUACGUAGCUGUGAACAAUCCCAAGAAAAUCGAGUGAUUUUCCUACGGAGAAAACUGCUAAGGGAUCACAGGGACCACUGGUAGAAACAGAAAGAGGAAAACAUCAUCUGUAAAUGUAUUUUCUAAAAUAAAUGUUAAUUCAUUUGUAAAUGAAUUGUUUUGACCCAUUUUCAUCUUUGUGUAAAUGUAUAUACUACCAAAAUACCAUUGAAAAUUGUACUUGCGUUCAAUGUUUAUAGGGAGUUACAAGAACAUAUAUAGCCGCAAGUGGCAAUUGGUGGUCCAAGCAGUUACAUAGCUUAGCAACAAAAAGAAUUUUGAGAAUAGGCCUUAUGGUUCAGAAGAUAUGGAUCUAAAUGUGUGUGACUCGCAAUCAGGAAAUUCCCAACUCAUUAACCGUUAGCAAUUAGCAUCGGCUAGCGGUUAGCAUUGGCUAUCAGUUAGCCUAGAUUAGCAGUUAGCAUUGGCUAGCGGUUAGCAUUGCCUAGCGACUAGCAUUUACUAGCGGUUAGAAUUGCCUAGCAAUUAGCAUUGCCCAACGUUUAGCAUUUACUAGCGGUUAGCAUCACCUAGCGAACAGCAUUGGCUAGUGAUUAGCAUGUGCUAUCACUUUAGUGCAUUCCUACAAGUGUUAAAACAUUUUCAUAACUGACAACUCAAACAACUCAAAACUGGUUAUUUAUUUCCCUCAUUUCUCUUCCAAAACAUCUAAACCUAAACACAGCAGGGGGAACUCCCCCCUAAUAGAGAUUAAGCUAAGCUAGCAGAACACAGGAGCUUCUGCUCUGACUCACCGGAGCUCGCUUUAAACACUUCAAAUACUCACUGAAAACUGCUUCUCUUCAGGGUUUACAGCUGUAUUACUGAUAUAAGAACAGCUUAUUAGUCUUAAUGUAUAAUAGCGGUGUGACGAGAUCUCGUGUCAUAAGAUCUCGCGAGAUUAAAACGUCUCGUCAAGCUUAAACCUGUCUCGCGAAAAAAAAAAAAAACAGUAGGUGACUGUUUCAUAGGCAGGUGUACUAAUCCCUUAGCUCUGUACUGUAUUUAAAAAAAAAAAACGUUUCUGUUUGCACUUCAAGCAUAGCCCUAAUAUGACUGGUUAUAGUUAUGCAUAGUUAAAUUACAAGAGAUUUAGGAGAAAAACACCAACCAUAGUCUUAAUAUGACUGGUUAUAGUUAUGCAUAGUUAAAUUACAAUUUAGGAGAAAAGAACACAAACCAUAUGCUUAAAAUGACUGGUUGUGGUUUGCACUUAUUGUUUGCACUAUAUAAGACCUAGAAAAGUUUUAUUUUUUUUUUAUUCUUAUUUCUAUUUCUUACAGAAUCAAUGUGUGAGAGAAACCAGUCUUUUAAGUUUGCAUUAUAUGAUUUUUUCAAAUAAAACUCUAGUUUUCAAGCCAUUUUUCUUUUUUUUUUCUUUUUUUUAAUCUCGUCUCAUCUCAUUCUCGUGAAACCAGUAUCGUGUCUCGUCUCGUCUUGUGAUAUUCGUGUCUCGUCACACCCCUAAUGUAUAGCAAUAGGCCCUUUUUCACACUUACACAUUCUUUCAUCCGGAAGCAGCUGUGAACGGGUAACACUAGUUCUGGUAAACAGUGAUGGCAAAAUCCAAUAAAAAGAGCUUUUGCAGUGUACCUAGGUGUUCAAACUCGAAACAAAAACAACGUAUCUUCGUUUCCAUGGUUUUCCGGCUGACGUUGAGCAGAGGAAAAAAUGGGUGCGUGCGAUUAGGAGAGAUGAAGCGUCAGCGAAGUAUCUUUGUGUGUAGCAUGCAUUUCACUGCUGCAGACUACAUAGAAAGAAGCCCGGGACUGAAAGCUGGUGUUGUCCCCCUCAAAGGACGUCAGCAUUUGAGAGAGCAAGCUCUCGGCGUGGAGUACCGUGUCCACCGGAGUCGGAGGCUGUGGAAAACCCUAGAAUUUGCGCUAAUGACCAUGACUACGCAGCUCGCCCUCCUGCCGGUAUGUAUAUGUGAUUACAUACGUUACCUACCUAAUUGCUAUUCAGAAUAAGCUGGUUAGACUAGUAAGACCAUUUUUUUUGAUGGUUCAACCACCAGUUUGAUGGUUCAAGUGGGUUACAAGCAUGAUAAUUCUGACCAAGAUACACUUACAGUAUAACCAACCCUGACUAUGAUGUGUGACUGCUUGUCAAGAGCUGGCUAACAAGCUAUCCUAUACUGGUGCGUUGGAAGAUGACCUGCAAUACAUUGAAAAGCUGGAGAACAGGUUGCAGAAAACGUCAAAGGGGUCAUCAAGCAUCCUGGCCAGAUUUUGUGUUUCUGAUGAGACCAUCAGGUACUACACCAGAUUUCCUUCUCAGCAUGUGUUUGAGCUUUUUUGGGAGUCCAUUGCUCCAUCUGCCACACAUCUAAUCUACUGGACAAAGGCACAAAGAAUGGGAGAAGCAGCAAUCCCAACACCAAGCCCUGCACGGAAGAUCCACCUCCUAGAUGAAUUGUUUAUCUAUUGCCUUUGUGCAGCUUCUGGACUGAAGGAGCAGGUGAUUGCUGACAUCUGUGGAGUAAGCAUAGCUACAGUCAGCAAAAUAAUUAUUACAUGGGCAAAUUACCUGUUU